rnacentral:rRNA from 1 species
UGCGAGUCGGAGCGGUAACAUUUCUAGCUUGCUAGAAGAUGACGAGCGGCGGACGGGUCGAGUAUAUGCUUGGGAAUAUGCCUUAUGGUGGGGGACAACAGUUGGAAACGACUGCUAAUACCGCAUAACGUCUACGGACCAAAGGAGGGGAUCUUCGGACCUUUCGCCAUUUGAUUAGCCCAAGUGAGAUUGGCUAGUUGGUGAGGUAAUGGCUCACCAAGGCGACGAUCUCUAGCUGGUUUGAGAGGAUGAUCAGCCACACUGGGACUGAGACACGGCCCAGACUCCUACGGGAGGCAGCAGUGGGGAAUAUUGCACAAUGGGCGAAAGCCUGAUGCAGCCAUGCCGCGUGUGUGAAGAAGGCCUUCGGGUUGUAAAGCACUUUCAGUUGUGAGGAAAGGGAUGUAGUUAAUAACUGCAUUCUGUGACGUUAACAACAGAAGAAGCACCGGCUAACUUCGUGCCAGCAGCCGCGGUAAUACGAGGGGUGCAGGCGUUAAUCGGAAUUACUGGGCGUAAAGCGUUCGUAGGCGGUUUAUUAAGCAAGAUGUGAAAGCCCAGGGCUCAACCUUGGAACUGCAUUUUGAACUGGUAGACUAGAGUACUGUAGAGGGUGGUGGAAUUUCCAGUGUAGCGGUGAAAUGCGUAGAGAUUGGAAAGGAACAUCAGUGGCGAAUCGGCCACCUGGACAGAUACUGACGCUGAGGAACGAAAGCGUGGGGAGCGAACAUGAUUAGAUAC